UGGUGGAGGGGAACUAGAUGGUUGUGGUGGUGUAGCUUGGUAUGGAGGUGGACUAGGUUGACUAUAGGUGGGAGGUGCAGUGGGUGCACUUGGUGGUGGUGGAGGCAAAUUGUUGGUUGGAGGACUAGAUUGUGGUGGCAUGGGAGAUUUGUAUGGAGGCAUGGUAGGAGGGAUAGAGGGUGAGAGCGGUGGCUGGUUAUUUGGCGGAGGUGUGGUUGGGGUACUUGAAGGUGGUGGAGGGGAACUAGAUGGUUGUGGUGGUGUAGCUUGGUAUGGAGGUGGACUAGGUUGAGUGUAGGUUGGAGGUGCAGUGGGUGCACUUGGUGAUGGUGGAGGCAAAUUGUUGGUUGGAGGACUAGAUAGUGGUGGCACGGGAGAUUUGUACGGAGGCAUGGUAGGAGGGAUAGAGGGCGAGAGUGGUGGCUGGUUAUUUGGUGGAGGUGUGGUUGGGGUACUUGAAGGUGGUGGCAGGGAACUAGAUGGUUGUGGUGGUGUAGCUUGAUGUGGAGGUGGACUAGAAUGCAAUGGAGGUGGUUGACUAUAGGUUGGAGGUGCAAUGGGUGGACUCGACGGUGGUGGUGGCAAAUUGUUGGUUGGAGGACUAGAUUGUGGUGGCAUGGUAGGAGGGCUAGAGGGCGACGGGGUUGGUUGGUGAUUUGGUGGAUAUGUUGGAGGUGUGGUUGGGGUACUUGAAGGUGGUGGAGGGGAACUAGAUUGUUGUGGUGGUGUGGCUUGGUGUGGAGGUGGACUAGGUAUCAAUGAAGGUGGUUGACUAUAAGUUGGUGGUGCAAUCGGUGGACUUGAUGGUGGUGGAGGCGAAUUGUUAGUUGGAGGCUUGGCUGGAGGACUAGAUU
rnacentral:lncRNA from 1 species